AAAUUGAAGAGUUUGAUCAUGGCUCAGAUUGAACGCUGGCGGCAGGCCUAACACAUGCAAGUCGAACGGUAGCACAGAGAGCUUGCUCUCGGGUGACGAGUGGCGGACGGGUGAGUAAUGUCUGGGAAACUGCCUGAUGGAGGGGGAUAACUACUGGAAACGGUAGCUAAUACCGCAUAACGUCGCAAGACCAAAGAGGGGGACCUUCGGGCCUCUUGCCAUCAGAUGUGCCCAGAUGGGAUUAGCUAGUAGGUGGGGUAAUGGCUCACCUAGGCGACGAUCCCUAGCUGGUCUGAGAGGAUGACCAGCCACACUGGAACUGAGACACGGUCCAGACUCCUACGGGAGGCAGCAGUGGGGAAUAUUGCACAAUGGGCGCAAGCCUGAUGCAGCCAUGCCGCGUGUAUGAAGAAGGCCUUCGGGUUGUAAAGUACUUUCAGCGGGGAGGAAGGUGUUG
rnacentral:rRNA from 1 species